AUCAACCAACACUUUUAAUUGCAAAAAGUAAAAACCUUCAUUACAAUAAACUUUAAUUUACAUACAUUCUUCACAUGGUGGAAGUCUUUACCAGUUUGUAGUAUCCUGCACUUGAACACAUACUAAAAGCUCAAGCCAUUCAGAGCCGCUGUGGCUGUGACAGCUGCCUGCCUCCCUCUGCUCCCUGGGACCAUCCAGGGCCACCACACCCUGCUCCCGGAAGGAGAGCUGCAGCUGACCCUGGCACCUGUCCCCGAUGAUGGCGGGAGCACUGCGCUGAGUCCCUGUCUUGCCUGUGACUCCUCCUUCCCCGACCCUCGGCAUUGGUUACUGACCCUUCCCCAGGGUGGAGGUGAAGGAAGGGAAGACUGCAGCCAACAUUUUUCUGAGGGUAAAACUGUGGAAAGAAGUAUGGAGGGAAGCCUGUCUGGAUAAGAUGGGGCUUUCUGGGAAUGUCAUGUGUCUGCUGGCUCCUGUCACCUCCCUGGAAGGGUCCACAGUGCUGGGGGGUUGCAGUGUGAAGAAUGGGAUGCUACUGUGAGUAAGGGUGGCUGCACAGGUGAGCCCCCUGCCCCAAGGAGCUGCUGUGGGGAGCGAUGGUGUCAAUGAAGCCUGGCACAGAGAAGAUGUCCCAACUCCCCAGUUUCUGUCUGAAACUCAGACCUCGGCUGGGUUCCUUUCUCCACACAGUGCUUGCCGCCAUGGCUCAUUCUUGGAUUGAUGGCUGCUGCCUGCCUGACAGACACACUAGGCAGAGGCGGAAGGGUCUCUGGUCCAGCCCUGUCAAAUCCUGACAGUUCCAGGCCUCCACUUAGUUAUGUAACAUUCCUUCCCUCCACUAGUCUGAAAAAAUCAAACCCAGGGAGGCAC
rnacentral:lncRNA from 1 species